rnacentral:rRNA from 1 species
AUUGAACGCUGGCGGCAUGCCUUACACAUGCAAGUCGAACGGCAGCACGGGAGCUUGCUCCUGGUGGCGAGUGGCGAACGGGUGAGUAAUACAUCGGAACGUACCCUGAAGUGGGGGAUAACGUAGCGAAAGUUACGCUAAUACCGCAUAUUCUGUGAGCAGGAAAGAGGGGGGUCGCAAGACCUCUUGCUUUAGGAGCGGCCGAUGUCGGAUUAGCUAGUUGGUGAGGUAAAGGCUCACCAAGGCGACGAUCCGUAGCGGGUCUGAGAGGAUGAUCCGCCACACUGGGACUGAGACACGGCCCAGACUCCUACGGGAGGCAGCAGUGGGGAAUUUUGGACAAUGGGCGCAAGCCUGAUCCAGCCAUGCCGCGUGAGUGAAGAAGGCCUGG